rnacentral:rRNA from 1 species
GACGAACCGUGCGAACGUUGUUCGGAAUCACUGGGCUUAAAGGGCGCGUAGGCGGCCUCUUUGGUCGUGGGUGAAAUCCCCCAGCUUAACUGGGGAAGGGCCUACGAUACCGGGGGGCUCGAGGGAGGAAGGGGCGGUCGGAACUGUCGGUGGAGCGGUGAAAUGCGUUGAUAUCGACAGGAACGCCGGUGGCGAAAGCGGACCGCUGGCCCUCUUCUGACGCUGAGGCGCGAAAGCCAGGGGAGCGAACGGG